rnacentral:snoRNA from 1 species
UCAUUACAGCCUACUCUGUCAAUUGAACUUCAGCCUUAAUUGGUCAUUCAAAGAGGUCAAACUGGAUGUUUGAGUAGUAACCUGACAGAGGAAACAAUG